AACAGGAUUAGAUACCCUGGUAGUCCACGCUGUAAACGAUGUCGACUUGGAGGUUGUGCCCUUGAGGCGUGGCUUCCGGAGCUAACGCGUUAAGUCGACCGCCUGGGGAGUACGGCCGCAAGGUUAAAACUCAAAUGAAUUGACGGGGGCCCGCACAAGCGGUGGAGCAUGUGGUUUAAUUCGAUGCAACGCGAAGAACCUUACCUACUCUUGACAUCCAGAGAAUUUGCUAGAGAUAGCUUAGUGCCUUCGGGAACUCUGAGACAGGCGCUGCAUGGCUGUCGUCAGCUCGUGUUGUGAAAUGUUGGGUUAAGUCCCGCAACGAGCGCAACCCUUAUCCUUUGUUGCCAGCACGUAAUGGUGGGAACUCAAAGGAGACUGCCGGCGAUAAACCGGAGGAAGGUGGGGAUGACGUCAAGUCAUCAUGGCCCUUACGAGUAGGGCUACACACGUGCUACAAUGGCAUAUACAAAGAGAAGCGAACUCGCGAGAGCAAGCGGACCUCAUAAAGUAUGUCGUAGUCCGGAUUGGAGUCUGCAACUCGACUCCACGAAGUCGGAAUCGCUAGUAAUCGUAGAUCAGAAUGCUACGGUGAAUACGUUCCCGGGCCUUGUACACACCGCCCGUCACACCAUGGGAGUGGGUCGCAAAAGAAGUAGGUAGCUUAACCUUCGGGAGGGCGCUUACCACUUUGUGAUUCAUGACUGGGGUGAAGUCGUAACAAGGUAACC
rnacentral:rRNA from 1 species